UGGAAAACAACAAAAAGAGACCAUCAUGAAGUCUGUCUUGCUCCUAUGCUGGAAAGAGGUGGGGCUUUUGCAUGCCUCUAUUGUCUUAUUAUGUGCUUGUGUGUGUAUGUUGCAGAGACAGGUCAGCUAACGUUUCCAUAGAGGGGGAUUGGUCAGUCUCCAUGAAAUUUGACCAAAGAUGGACACUUCCACUCCAUCUCUGCUGUCUGCUGUCAAUGACCCGGGAACGCCAACUCAGCUCUUUGAUGUGCCGCCGACGACAGACUUCUAGCAGCCUUACAGAAGUAACCUAGACCGACCCUUGUCAACCUGCUUCAGACUGCCAAAUCGGAGGGAAAGGAAACUGGUGCAAUUACGUCAGCUUAAGGUUAGGGUCUGUUUUUCAGAUCUGUGUCGGCUGCCUAUUAGUGCUGACCUGGUGUUUCUGGUGCCUUUUUCCUGACCUCAAGAGGGGGAAGACGGCAUUAUCCAUCUGGGCCUGUCGGUUCUUUUCGGUGCCAUUCCAUACCCAAGCAGGUGGUGUGUUAUGUUUCACUCUGGGAAAUGUGGGAAACCAGAACUUAAAGGCCCUGACAACCUACUUUCUCAAUCCGCUUCUGACGGACGAGCAGUCCCAUCCGUCUUCUGUGUUCAGUAAUGGGGGCUCAGAGUGGCUUGCGCUCGGCCCCCUGAUCCGUCCUCAUUUGGUUGGCAUUUCGUUACGGGCCAGACACUCUUCCUGUGACACGGAAAGAAACUCAGACUACCCCCUCCUUCCUUUUCCACCUGCCAUCCUCUCCACUAUUUCUCUUUCCCUUCUCCUUGCUUCUUUCUCUCUCACUUUGACAGAAACAAACACACACAGACAUACACACAAUUUCUUCCCUUGUCUGCAUCUCAGCUUUCUCACCACAACCACAGGAUGAGGCAAAAUGAGGACAAAUUGAUAUGAAUCCCAAGGAAAAGAAGCCAGGGGGUAAAAAAAAAAAAAAAGAAAAUAUGUAGCAGCGCCCGUCUGCAAGGCAACUGUAAGCAUAAAUCCACUGAUGUACUGCUGUUCACUCUGUAAGUGCGUCCAUUCCUCAUUAUGAUGCCCAUAUAACGGGAAGAACUUCUAGGACAACCCAAUGUCACCCACCGGCAUCAGAUGCUGUGGAUCAUCUUUGAUUUUGAAUUCACCAUCAAUAUAAAUUCCAGAUAAAAUGAUAGAAAUUUAAUUUCAGCUCAGUGGCUUCUCAAAGCUUUUCGGCUCUGACUGAUGUCUCCAUAGUGGACUUAAAAAGGGGUAUGCAGCACAAAUAAAGCCGUAUAGAGUCAACCUGAUAAAAGUGAUCUGCCUUGCCUGGCCAAGGAUAAUGCAUACGGGCGGUGUGCUGCAAUGCACGCUGUGGCUGAAUACCCUGUGGCUUAAAACAGGAGCCGACAGCAGCCCCAUCUCGGUUAAAGGCAAUUCCCCUUCAUAGUGGUUCUUUAGCCCUGAGCUGCCGGGUCCAAAACAAAGCCAGUCAAUCUAAUCAUGAGAAAAGGUGAGCGGGGAGGGCGGGACAAAGAAAGAAAUGGAGGGAGGCAGAGAAAGCCUUCCUGUGUAUGUGUGUAUCUGUGCACAAGAGAGAGUGAGUGGGAGCCAGGGCUUUGCUACAUCAAUCCUAUGAACUUGGAGGCCCCUGCUUGGCUCUCAGAGGUGUUUAUGUGUCUAAAACCCAGAAUCAUCCUGUCCACUGCUCUCACUGUCUGAGAGAAAAACUGUGGGAGACUCUGUGUUUUAUCGGCCCACUCUUAAACCUCUCCUGUGUUCAUCUUUGCUGUAUGUGCAUCUUCAUUUUUGCAUAUAGUACCUGCAUAUAGAGUGCAGUGUUCUCACACAGACCCACAAUUUCAUCCAGUAAAAAUUCUAUGUACCCUUUAAACUCCUGCGCACAUCAGCGCAUGCACAAAACACCCUCACAGAAGCAUGCACAUGCACACUUUUUGGUUUUCUCUGCAGCACAUGGGAAUAAAGGUCCAUUGUGUAGGUGUGCUAGGUGAGGUGAGCGCUCAAGUCUAGUCAGCAUAACAUGGCUUCGCCGAGCUGCUGGAUAGCCCUACUGCUGAGCGCUGCAAGUACAGUACAUCUCAAUUUGUUCUGGGGGGGAUCAAAUUCUACUGCCUUGCAAAUCUCACCGAGCAGCAGGCGAAGCACACGAUGAAUAAAUGGAGAACUGUAGGAAAUAUAAUAGAGCUGUGUUUGAACCACUAGAACCCAAGCGGAGCCUGGGUAUCUGUAUCCAUAAACUAUCUGCGGGGAGUCUGUCCAGGUUGGAUGCAAAAUAAAUCAGUGUGAUUCAGCAUAAUUACAGGCUGAAAAUCAUGCAGAAUUGCUUAUGAUAUUCACAUCUCUUUGUAGAUGAAAGGAAUAUUUGCUGUAAACAUUGCUGUAUAGGUGAAUAUUAAAAGUUUCUUCUCCUCCAUGGAUGACAGUUAAUAUGAGUCUGAAGCCUUAUUAAUAAUCACAGCCUUCUGAUGGAUGUUAUUAAUCUUUCAUUCAGAACCGACCUGAGACAGAAAAGGAUAAAGUCCUUAAAGGUCUGGAGAAGGUUGGAGAGCAGAGGUCGAGAAAGGACAGCUCUAUCCUAAUUACUGUCAUCAGUCACUCUUGCCCCUUAAUGUAUUUGAUACUCUUCAGGAAAUGAAAAACCUCAUCACUAAUAACUGAUAUCACCUAGCUGAGAAGGACUUUCACUAAGCAAGACAUUUUCUUGCUGGUGUUUUAUCACAUUCUUUUCCCCUUCAAGGUGGUCAGAGGUGAAAUUAGUCACCACUUGUUUGUAGAAAGAAAAGGGCAUGUUGACAAAUCAUAGUAUAGUAUGUCGCCUGAAAAUUGAUAAAAACAUCAUACUAGUAGUACAGUAUGUCGAAAAGUGUCAAAAUAUGACAUGUCAAAAAAAGGUCUGAAAACCACUCAUUAUUGCAUGUUCAGGCACCUCAUUGUAGAAUAUGUCGGAAAAAAUGACUAAAGACUUCAAAAUAUAACAUGUUAAAAAAAACGACUGAAAGUAUACAAUAUAGUAGGGGAGAGUGGGGUGAUUUGAGCCAGUUUUUACUUGAGGCAUAUUUUAAGUAAGGGUGUGACAGAUAUGUCUCCAACUAAUUGACACAUAUAUUUCAGGAUGUGGUGCAUCCCAUGGAAAAAUAACAAUUCAAAAUAGAUUGUAACUCUUCAAAAAAAGUUGUCUCUCGGCUCAACUAGCCCCUUAUAGCAUGUCGAAAAAUGGUCAAAAAAGUUGUGGUUCCUCAUGUCCAAAAGAGUCAUAGCAUAGCAUGUUUAAGUAUUGUUUGGCAUGGCAUGUUGAAAUGGUCCAAAAAGUCAAUAUUUAAAAUGUUUUAAAGUCUGAGUAAAGUACGUUAAAAGCACCAUACUUUAGAAUGUCGAAAAAUUGUUAAUAAAGUGAUCCCUCCAAAUGCUGAAAAAAAGUCACAGUACAGCAUGCUGAAGCAGUUUAUAAUAUGGCGUGUUGA